rnacentral:lncRNA from 1 species
UUUUGAAUCUCUUUUCUUAUACCUGAAAGACUGCUUCAACUCUCCAAUUCCCUGGGUGUAUAAUAGAUGGAACUGAGUUAAUUAUAUUAUUUUUUAUCAUAUUGAGUUUUUCAAUUGUUUUUGUUACAAAAGUAAAGUUACUACACAUAUAUAAUCUGCCAUUCACAAUAUCUAAUUUAGGACUCAGGAAUAACAACAUUAUAACUUUUAGUCAGCACAGCUCAUGUAAACGUGUUCCAAAAUAGCGGUUCCCCAUAUUUUUUUCUCCAUGACAUGUGUGACAGACAACAUUCACAAGCUCACAUCCUCCUGCGGACGAGAUCACCUUGAGGCUGCACUGGUCUUCCCAGCUGGAAUCAACUCUCUCCAACCGAGAUGGAUGUCAAAAUGCAAGUAAUAUUAAGAGAUGAGAUAAUAAGCCAAUCACUUGAAACUUAUUCUUGUCUGUGUGUACGUGUGAAGCAAAGUAUUGUGGGAA